GUAGUCGAUUUCUCCCAGUGCAGGGGGUGAGACCCAGAAGAUUAUAGGAAAGCAACCCCCAGUGGUGAAGGCGACUCCUGGGGCGACACCCCCAGUGAGGUGUAAAAGUGUGGGGACCACACAGGAUGAGAUCCCGUUGUAGUCCACGCCACAAAUGAUCUCAAUUAGCCGUGGGUAUCCUUGAGAUAUUAGCGCAGCAGCCAACCCAAUAAGAAGUCCCCCUGGGGAGUACCGCCCCAAGGUUAAACAUUAUAUGAAUCGACGGGCGGCUGCACAAGCGGUAGAUCACUUGUAUUAAUUCGAAGCACCGAGAAGAGCUUUACGCGCCCUAAUCAUGAUGAGAACUUUCACCAGAUGGAUUGGCGCCUUCGAGAAAUCAAACACAGGUGCUGCAUGGUUGUCGUCAACUGUCGUAAUGAGAUGUUGUGUUAAGUGCCGCAAUGAGCGCAACCCUUAUCCUUUUUUACCACCACGUUAUGGUGGGCACUCUAAGGAGGCUGCCGGUGACAAACCGGAGGAAGGUGGGGAUGACGUCAAGUCAUCAUGCCCCUGACGGCCAGGGCUACACACUUGCUACAAUAGUCGGAACAAAGGGUUAACAAGCCGGGAGGUGGAGCUAAUCCCAAAAAACCCAUUGUAGUCCGGGAAGCAGUCAGCAACUCGACUGCGAGAAGUAGGUACGAAUAUUAAUCGUGAAUCAGAACGUCACGGUGAAUACGUUCCCGGUCCUUGUACACACCGCCCGUCCCACCGGGGGGGGGGGUUGCUCCAGAAGUAGCUAGUCCCCCCCUGGGGAGGA
rnacentral:rRNA from 1 species